UGCAAGCCGAGCGGUAGAGAUUCUUCGGAAUCUUGAGAGCGGCGCACGGGUGCGGAACACGUGUGCAACCUGCCUUUAUCUGGGGGAUAGCCUUUCGAAAGGAAGAUUAAUACCCCAUAAUAUAUUGAGUGGCAUCACUUGAUAUUGAAAACUCCGGUGGAUAGAGAUGGGCACGCGCAAGAUUAGAUAGUUGGUGAGGUAACGGCUCACCAAGUCAAUGAUCUUUAGGGGGCCUGAGAGGGUGAUCCCCCACACUGGUACUGAGACACGGACCAGACUCCUACGGGAGGCAGCAGUGAGGAAUAUUGGACAAUGGGUGAGAGCCUGAUCCAGCCAUCCCGCGUGAAGGACGACUGCCCUAUGGGUUGUAAACUUCUUUUAUACUGGGAUAAACCUACCCUCGUGAGGGUAGCUGAAGGUACAGUAUGAAUAAGCACCGGCUAACUCCGUGCCAGCAGCCGCGGUAAUACGGAGGGUGCAAGCGUUAUCCGGAUUUAUUGGGUUUAAAGGGUCCGUAGGCGGACUCGUAAGUCAGUGGUGAAAUCUCAUAGCUUAACUAUGAAACUGCCAUUGAUACUGCGGGUCUUGAGUAAAGUAGAAGUGGCUGGAAUAAGUAGUGUAGCGGUGAAAUGCAUAGAUAUUACUUAGAACACCAAUUGCGAA
rnacentral:rRNA from 1 species